rnacentral:lncRNA from 1 species
UUUUUAGAUGAAAGAAAAAUUCAUAUCUUAAAAGAAGUUCCUUGUAGAUUGUUAACUUGCAGAGAUUAAAAAAGGAAGGUCAGAGGGGCUCAAGGUUACAAGUCUCAUACACAGGGAAAAAGAAUGCAUUGCUUUCUCUUAGCCACCUCCAUAACCUGACCACCAGGGUAUUAAAGAAAGGCAGAUCCCUGUGGUUAAGAGUUUCUACUGCACUGCAGAGUAAAGAGGUAAGCUCCUGUUAAAUGCUGAAGUAAUAUUUUUGCAAAGGGUCUAAAAAUGUCCCUAGAAAGAAUUAAGACAACUCCCUUGAGAUUAAAAAUAAGAAUUUAAAAAUGUGAGUGCCAAUCAGAUAAAAGACAUCAGGUCAAUUCGACCCAUAAAACAAAGAGAAGAAUUGUUCCUUUUUAAAAGUGUAGUACUUGGAAAAUGGAGCCAGAUGUGGAUGACCAAAGGCCAAAAUCCUUUGGCAAACAAGCUUAUGCCAGCAAGAGAAAACUAACAUUAUUUAUAGUCAUGUGAU